GUUUUCAGAGGCAAGGUCACAAAAGGAAAUGCAGCUUCUAUCUGGUUCUCUUAGGAUGGUUGUUCUUGAAACCCAGCCACCAUGCUGUGAGGAAGUCCAGACAACCUGUGGAGAGGCCCCUUUCAAUUUUACUGAAAGUUCUCUCUCAAACCAGAAAAAGAAAUGAAGAUAAAAGAUACCAAUGUAACUUUUACCUGACAAAACAACCCUUCAAAGAAUCAGCACAAUUUAAAAGUUUAGAAUAAUUCUUUUUGUGGAAGUUCUUACAGGUUGAGGUUGUGCUCAAAAUAAAAGAAACAGCCUGAAGAUUAACGUAGAAGAAUGUUUUGAAGGAAGAGAGAAAAAGAAGGAGAAACAAGAAGAGGAGGAAGAGAAGGAAGGAAAAGGGGGAAACAGGAAGAGGAGAACAAACAGGCAAGAGGAAAAACAAGAACCAUUACUACUACUACUGUAUGGUCAGUUACAUCUUUACUACCUUUAGAUUUUUUUUUCCUUUUGGAGUAGAUUAAUGCAUAAUCCUUGCUGCACUGACUCAUUUAGCUUAUACCUGUUUUUCACUCUGGCUUCCCCCAGGUCCACCUGCAUGUUCAUGCCAAUCAUUAUCUAAACAUGCAUGCAUUUCUAGACACGCUGGAAAUCUCCUUUUGGAUGUUUCAGGGGCAUCUCAAGCUUAACAUGUCCAACAGAAUAUCGAUCUUGCCACAGAACAUGUUCUAUGCAUCUUACCAAUUGCACUUUGUGGUAUGAACAUCCCAUCCACCUAUUCACAUGGGAAACUCAGCGGCCAUGCUUGGGUGCUUGUCUUCCCUACCCCUGCCUCUGUUUCAACUGGCCUAACAUCAAGUCCUGUUAGCUCUGCCUCCAAAAUCUAAUUCCUGUUACUCCAUUCCUCUCCAAUGCCUCCACUGAAAACACCCUCCACUAAACUACCAUCUUUUAAACUGUUGUCAGAGAUCAGCAAGAGUAACCUUUAUAAAUAUAAAGCAGAUUGAUUUCUUCCCCUACUUACAUGGUCCCAUUGCAGUUAUAGAAAAAUCCUAAGUCUUUAACAUGAUCAAGAAGAGCCUACACACCAGGCCCUUCCCACUCCUCCAGUUGUGUACCAUUCCUUCUGACUCAUUCUGUCCCACCACUCUCCUGUCCAGCUGUGCAAACACACCAAACACCUUCCCAAUGCAAGGCCUUUUCUCAUGUUAUUCCUUCCACGUGGAGCACACUGAACUCCUUGGCUGCUGUCCUUCAGCUCAUUUUUCAUGUCUCAUCUGAAAUAUUACUACCUGAAAGAAGUCUUCACCAGCUUCAAACUCUAUCAACAUCCUGUGCUGGACAUUGUAGAUCAUCUCACUCACUCUCCGUUCCACCCUCCUCCUAUUUGAAGAGGAUAGAAUGCUACUAACUGCACUGCUGACUCUCUUGCAGCUAAGGGUCUGGAUGCUAAUGUGGUUCCACCUGGCAGUUUCUACUAGCAAGCACUAUCAUGGAAACAUGAGGUUUCUCUGUACUGUGCCAGUUUUCAAAUUCCUGAGAAUGAAGUUAGUGGAUGCAGAGGCAUUAGUGGCAAUCGUGGCAUGCUGACUGGCUUGCUAAAUCAUGAAUCACAGCCUUGGAUAUCCAUUUUGUAGCAACCCAGGUGUUCAGAGACAGUUUCAAUAGCAGAAUUUAAGUGAGUGGCAGUGUGUUCUUGACUCUGCAAAGUUCCAUAUGGGAGCUCCCCAGGAGGGCCAGCUCUGCAGUGUUCUGACAAAUACCCCUGAAGACCCAGGAUUAAACUGCCUCUUCAGCCCUUCAAAUGAGUUUUACAAACAUCCAAUUCCUUGAAUUAAUCUACAUCCUGCUUAAAGUACCUAGAGUUUUUUCUCCUUUCUGCACUGGAGCCUGACUGAUAUAGUCUGCCUGUUAAACUCUCUCCGAAUUCUUAUCAUAAUAUGUAAUUACAUAUUUAUUUGUGGGGCAACUUGUUUCCAUCUGGAUCACUGCUAUGUCCCCAGCACCUAGGAUAGUGUCUGACAUACAAAAAGGAGAGUAAUCAAUAUUUGGUAAACCAAUGAGAGAAUUUAGCACUUUCAACUAACUAUGUGGGUAAUUCAUUUGUCAACUGAUCACGAAGAUGAUUAGAUUAACACCUCAGUUACCUCUUAUAUCGUUAAACAAUAAUAAAAUCUCAAAGUGUAUAAAAAGCAUGCAAAUAGAGUUGUUUUUUACAGAGUGCCAGAUAUUUAGAACUGCUGCCUACAGUCCAAGUGAGAGAGAUGGUCUUGGAAAGCUGAUGAAACAACUCCAUGAAUUAAUUCUGUUUUCAUUAAAUCUGGUCUGAUCUAAUGCCUACUCCAUCAGAAGACCUCAUUAGGCUAACUGGAAAAGGACAACCAGUAUGGCAACUUAGGUAGCUCUGAUUGUGCUACAGCUAGAUAAAAAGGUUUUUCUAGGCCCAUUGAUUCUGAGUGUAAGGUUUUCAGGUUCUCAGAUCGCAAGGAUUUAGUGUGAACCAAAAAGUCUGCAACCUCAAAUAUGAGAUUUGAAGGAAAGAGUUGAUCUGCUCCUGGAGUUCAAAUUGCUUUCAUUGACUCUGAAUGUUUGACCAAAAAAUGAAUGCAAAGGAACCUAAGGGCAGAUGAGUAUUAGAAUAAGUCCACCAAAAGCAAUGUUCCCAAAGCACCAGUGCUUCAAGCUGGCAACGCAGCAAGGUGGCUAAGGAAUGGGUUUUGAACUACACAGACCUGGAUGCAAAUAUUGCCUCUUCAAUCAAUGAGAAAAAAAAAAAAAAAAAGAACACCUUCAGCAAGUCUCUAACUUUACUAAGCUUUAGUUUCUUCAUUUAUGAAAUAAAAAUCCUAGUCACAUC
rnacentral:lncRNA from 1 species